AUCGGCAUUGCUGAUGAGCGCUGAGACGAUUUCGCCGCUCGCGAUGCCGCAUCGUCCAUAGCUUUUGACCACGGAUGUACUGGCACUGGUGAUAGGACGAUGAUCAGGAAGGUCGGUGCGAUUUCGCCCCGGCCUUUUUUGUU
rfam:Rhizobium sp. R72 R711_NODE_1, whole genome shotgun sequence.